rnacentral:tRNA from 1 species
GGAGAAUUGGCCGAGUGGUCGAAGGCGCACGCUUGGAAAGCGUGUAUGCGCGCAAGCGUAUCGGGGGUUCGAAUCCCCUGUUCUCCGCCA